UGGACUAGGGGUCCAUUUAUUUCAUAUGAUGAAAAAUCCUUACAUCAAGCCCAAAUAAGCAAAGAUGAAGAAGGCCCAAAAUAGGAAAGUUCUCCACUUUCGUUGCUCUAUAUCCUCUGCCUCCAUUUCCAUUCUCCUCUACUGUACCUCCAUAUCUCUUGUUCCUUUUUCUUUGUUUUUGAUUUUUCUCCACCUCUAGGUCAUCAGUAUUCUGCAUCCAUGGAUUGUGAAGCGAUUUAACAGCUCACAAAGAUGUGCAUCCCGAUAGAGGCGUUUGGAAUUUUGUGGAGCUUUUUGUUGGUAUUGAACCAUGAAUCUCUUUCUAAAGGACUGCCGAAUCAAGAGGCUACCGUUCGUUAAUCUUGAGGAUUACCUGACUCUCUUGCUAAUGUAAGUUUUCUUAUUAUGAUGAACUCGCUGGUCAAUUUUACCUGGAGUAAUUGAGUUAACUUUUCUGAUUUUAUCUCCUCUCCAUUGAUUGCUUUGUUUAUUUGCUUACUUUUUAUUCAAGUUAUGUAUUAUGUUAUUAUUCUUUAUUUGUGUUCUAAUUUUGUGCCAGUAUAAUUUUUGACAAUCACACUAGUUGACGUUUAUUCUAAUUAGUUCAUCUACCCUUCAUUCAAGAUUUGAUAGAAUCCAUCCUGGUAUAGUUGUUAGUGGGAGAUCUCAAAAAUUCAUAUAUUUCAAUUCAAAUUAUCCUUUACUAAACGUCGGUGUAUUAUUCAAUUCAAAUUAUCUUUACUAUACAUCGGUGUAUAAUUUUUAUUACAUGUGAUCCAAAAAAAGCUUAUAUUUUGACCAUUG